CAAUAGCGUAUAUUAAAGUUGUUGCGGUAAAAAAGCUCGUAGUUGGAUUUCUACCGAAGAUAGCCGGUCGGGUCUUCGACCUUGUAUCUGGUUUUGUCUUUGGUAUCCUCAUAGGGAACGUUUCUGCGCUUUAUUGCGUGGUGCGGUAUCUAUGACUUUUACUUUGAGGAAAUUAGAGUGUUCACGGCAGGCAAACGCCUUGAAUAUAUUAGCAUGGAAUAAUAACAUAGGAUCUUCGUCCUAUUUUGUUGGUUUCUAGGGCUAAGAUAAUGAUUAAUAGGGAUAAUUGGGGGCAUCUGUAUCAACGCGUCAGAGGUGGAAUUCUUGGAUUGCGUUGCGACAAACUACUGCGAAAGCAUUUGCCAAGAAUGUUUUCAUUGA
rnacentral:rRNA from 1 species